CCUACGGGUGGCAGCAGUGGGGAAUAUUGCACAAUGGGGGAAACCCUGAUGCAGCGACGCCGCGUGAGUGAAGAAGGAUUUCGGUAUGUAAAGCUCUAUCAGCAGGGAAGAAAAUGACGGUACCUGAUUAAGAAGCACCGGCUAACUAAGUGCCAGCAGCCGCGGUAAUACGUAGGGGGCAAGCGUUAUCCUGAUUUAAUGGGUGGAAAGGGAGCGUGGACGGCAGCACAAGGCUGGAGUGAAAUGCCGGGGCUUAACCCCGGAACUGCUUUGGAAACUGUGCAGCUAGAGUGCAGGAGAGGUAAGUGGAAUUCCUAGUGUAGCGGUGAAAUGCGUAGAUAUAAGGAGGAACACCAGUGGCGAAGGCGGCUUACUGGACUGUAACUGACGUUGAGGCUCGAAAGCGUGGGGAGCAAACAGGAUUAGAUACCCCGGUAGUC
rnacentral:rRNA from 1 species